AUCGGAAAAUGAUUCCUUCUCAGAAUGGUAAGAUCAUAGACUCACACUAUGUGAGGACAUUUACAUAAUAUACUUUAAUCCCUUCAUUUUACAAAUGAAGAGAAUGCAUUGCCUAUGGUCUCAUAGCAAAGUGAGGACUAGGUUGGGACUAAAACCAGUCAAGGUUGGAACUAGAACCAGGUGUUUCAGCUAGUCUUGUAUGCAUCCAAGUGCAUCAUACUUGGUGAUUUUGAAUUGUUAGAGCUGAGUCUUGUGUGGUUAGGGGAUCAUGUGCAACUUUGCUAGUAGGGAGUUCGCUUCUUAAAAAUUUUUUUCUUUCAGCUCCCCACACAUCUAAAUAUUUUGUAAGGAGAUACUUUGAAAGGACAGGGUCUCACCAUGUUGCCCAGGCUGGAGUGCAGUGGCACAAUCACAGCUCACUGCAGCCUCGACCUCCUGGGCUUGAGCGAUCUUGCUGCCUCAGCCUCCUGAGUAACUGGGACUACAUGAGUAGCUGGGACUACAGAGACCAUUCACUUACUAUAUUCAGAACACCAAGAGAUACGUAAAGACUGCGGUUGAUUGGUGAGCUUUGCUGGACUCAGGUGGAGAAGGCUUUGCCUUGGCCCCCAGAAGAGCAGAUGCUCCAGUCAAUUCUGGAGUAGGAAGAAAAGAUUUGGAAUACUUUAUGACUCCCUGUGAUAUGGUUUAGAUGUUUUGUCUCCUCCAAAUCUCAUGUUGAAAUGUGACCUCCAGUGCUGGAAGUGGGCCUAGAGGGAGUUGUUUGGGUCAUGGGGGCAGAUUCCUUAUGAAUAUCUUGGUGCUGUCCUAGUGGUAAUGAUUGAGUUCUCAUUCUACGAGUUCACAUAAGAUCUUGUUGUUUAAAAGAGCCUGGCACCUCCUUUCUUUCUCUCUUGCUCACUCUCACAAUGUGACACACUGGAUCCCCUUGACUUUCCACCAUCAUUGUAAGGCUUCUGAGGCCCUCCUAGAAGCAGAUACCUGCACCAUGCUUCAUGUACAGCCUGCAGAACUGUGAGACAAAUAAACUUGUUUUCUUCUAAAUUA
rnacentral:lncRNA from 1 species